rnacentral:rRNA from 1 species
GCCGACGUUCCUCCGAUGACUCGGCGGGGAGCUUUCCCCGGGAAACCAAAAGCUUUUGGGUUCCGGGGGAAGUAUGGUUGCAAAGCUGAAACUUAAAGGAAUUGACGGAAGGGCACCACCAUGAGUGGAGCCUGCGGCUUAAUUUGACUCAACACGGGAAACCUCACCAGGCCCGGACAUUGGAAGGAUUGACAGAUCGAUAGCUCUUUCUCGAUUCAGUGGGUAGUGGUGCAUGGCCGUUCUUAGUUGGUGGACUGAUUUGUCUGGUUUAUUCCG